rnacentral:lncRNA from 1 species
CGAAAUAAGUUAUAAUACUUCUACAUUUAGAUAGAGAGCAUCCUUUUUCGGAAAAUAUAAAUUUUACAAGAGUAUCUUGCAAAUUAAAAGCUGGAAAUUGGAAAAAUGUAUAAACUGCUGGGCCGCGAUGAUUCUCGACAGAUUUAAACAAACGGAAGUAGAAAUUGACUAACUUCCAUGACCAAAUUCUCGUUCGCUUUUGGG